UUAAGCACGUCCUUGAUGAAGCAGCGAAAAGUGUUCAUUAUGUGGAAUUUCCAUCCUGAGUACAUGCCUUUUUCACAUCCUCAGAUGAAAUCCAGCACUUCUGCUGCACGGCAGCGUGACAGUUGACGGCAGGGGGCGCUCAUGCGGUCGUUGGAGUGAGAGUUCGCUGCCUACUUUUUGGUAGCUCUUCGCUUCUAAUUGAGAGAAUGACUGACAAACCAUGAGUGACCUGAACACCUUCCUGGUUUGAGAAGAUUAGAAGAAGAAUCUCUAUCAGGACCAGUCUUCAGCCAUAGGGGUUCUGCUUCUCGGCUUCUAUAAACAACCAGACAAAUAGUGACGGCCAAAGAAACUGUAGGGAAUUCAUAGAAUUUGUAAAAACUUGAAAAAUUAAAUCCUACAUUUAGACCCA
rnacentral:lncRNA from 1 species